rnacentral:sRNA from 1 species
GUAAACACUCGUUAGGUGAGGCUCCUAUAUGAAGACAUGCUGCUGCCCAGAAACGUCCAAAGACGCCAAUGGGUCAACAGAAAUCAUCGAGUUAAGGUGAUUUUUAAUGUAGCUGGUAUAUCCUAUGUCAUAUAGUGCUAAAACUCUACGAAGGGGGUUUAUU